rnacentral:rRNA from 1 species
GACGAACGCUGGCGGCGUGCUUAACACAUGCAAGUCGAACGAUGAAGCCGGAGCUUGCUCCGGUGGAUUAGUGGCGAACGGGUGAGUAACACGUGAGCAAUCUGCCCUUGACUCUGGGAUAACUGCGGGAAACUGUAGCUAAUACCGGAUACGACACCUUGGGGCAUCCUAGGGUGUGGAAAGAAUUUCGGUCAAGGAUGAGCUCGCGGCCUAUCAGCUAGUUGGUGAGGUAAUGGCUCACCAAGGCGACGACAGGUAGCCGGCCUGAGAGGGUGACCGGCCACACUGGAACUGAGACACGGUCCAGACUCCUACGGGAGGCAGCAGUGGGGAAUAUUGCACAAUGGGCGAAAGCCUGAUGCAGCAACGCCGCGUGAGGGAUGAAGGCCUUCGGGUUGUAAACCUCUUUUAGCAGGGAAGCAGCGAAAGUGACGGUACCUGCAGAAAAAGCACCGGCUAACUACGUGCCAGCCGACGCCGUAA